rnacentral:rRNA from 1 species
UACGGAGGGAGCUAGCGUUAUUCGGAAUUACUGGGCGUAAAGCGCGCGCAGGCGGCCUUUUAAGUCUGACGGUGAAAUGCCGGGGCUCAACCCCGUGCCCGCCGCGGAUACUGGGAGGCUGGAGACGAGUAGAGGCAAGCGGAAUUCCGGGUGUAGCGGUGGAAUGCGUAGAGAUCCGGAAGAACACCGGAGGCGAAGGCGGCUUGCUGGGCUCGGUCUGACGCUGAGGCGCGAAAGCGUGGGGAGCGAACAGG